CAGUGAGCCGUCUUUUCUGGUUUCCCUUUGGAUUAUCUCUGCUGUAAUGGGGAGAAUUCCAAUUUGCAUUAGGGAGAAUACGUGCAGAGGAGAGUCCACUUCUGUAAAUUGUUUGGGUAUUUUCUUUUCCAAGGGUAAACGGUCCAAUCCAUCUGUAUUUGCAUGAUUAGUUGUCUUCUUGAAUUUUAUGUUGUAAUUGUGUCUUCAAAGAAGCGAAACCCACCUCUGCAUUUGUGAUGCUGCUGUUAGUGGAACGUCUUUCUGUGGAUUGAAAAUGGACACUGGAUUUGAUGAUCAGUAAUGAAGGCACGCUCAGUAAAUCCAAGGAAAAUAACAGAAUCAAUGAAAGACCACACCCAACAGGAUGGACAAACAACCAAUCUGCAAAGACAAAAAAAAAGCAACUUCAAAACCUGCAACCAAGCAGUCAUGGAAUAUUUUUGCCCUGUUUAACAAGCUGAAUAAAAAUAAAUAGCUUUUGCACUUGGAUACAGUUCAGUCCAAAGACAUGCAAAUUAGCAGACUUGAUGAAUGAUGGAAUACUUCAUGCCAGAGUCCAUUUUCUUCAACAUCAAAGACUUGCGGUUGGGCACGAGUCUUCUACAACAUCAGGACCAGAUCAGCACCACAAAAUGUUAGCAUUUAAGGCAAAUCUCUGUUCUUAUGCCAGGAACACAAGAGCUGCAGAUGCUCCACAGCAUAAUAUCAAUUCAAAAAGGAAGCACAGAAUGCUAGAGGCAAAGUUUCUGUGUGACAUUUCUGACUUGUCCACUGGUGCCCCAUUACAGAAAAAAUCUUUUACACUCUUGGUAACUACUAGGGUUCAUUUCAAGGAACAUCGAUCCCUGUUCCAGCUGUGUAUAGCUAUAA